UCGGGAAUAUUGCGCAAUGGAGGAAACUCUGACGCAGUGACGCCGCGUAUAGGAAGAAGGUCUUCGGAUUGUAAACUAUUGUCGUUAGGGAAGAGAAAGGACAGUACCUAAGGAGGAAGCUCCGGCUAACUACGUGCCAGCAGCCGCGGUAAUACGUAGGGAGCGAGCGUUAUCCGGAUUUAUUGGGUGUAAAGGGUGCGUAGACGGGAAAAUAAGUUAGUUGUGAAAUCCCUCGGCUCAACUGAGGAACUGCAACUAAAACUAUUUUUCUUGAGUGCAGGAGAGGAAAGUGGAAUUCCUAGUGUAGCGGUGAAAUGCGUAGAUAUUAGGAGGAACACCAGUGGCGAAGGCGACUUUCUGGACUGUAACUGACGUUGAGGCACGAAAGUGUGGGGAGCAA
rnacentral:rRNA from 1 species